AACGUAGGUCACAAGCGUUGUCCGGAAUUACUGGGUGUAAAGGGAGCGCAGGCGGGAAAACAAGUUGGAAGUGAAAUCCAUGGGCUCAACCCAUGAACUGCUUUCAAAACUGUUUUUCUUGAGUAGUGCAGAGGUAGGCGGAAUUCCCGGUGUAGCGGUGGAAUGCGUAGAUAUCGGGAGGAACACCAGUGGCGAAGGCGGCCUACUGGGCAGCAACUGACGCUGAGGCUCGAAAGUGUGGGUAGCAAACAGG
rnacentral:rRNA from 1 species